rnacentral:rRNA from 1 species
CCUACGGGUGGCAGCAGUGAGGAAUAUUGGGCAAUGGACGCGAGUCUGAACCAGCCAAGCAGCGUGAAGGAUGACUGCCCUCUGGGUUGUAACCUUCUUUUAUAUGGGAAUAAAAUGUUCCACGUGUGGGAUUUUGUAUGUACCAUAUGAAUAAGGAUCGGCUAACUCCGUGCCAGCAGCCGCGGUCAUACGGAGGAUCCGAGCGUUAUCCGGAUUUAUUGGGUUUAAAGGGAGCGUAGGUGGAUUUGUAAGUCAGUUGUGAAAGUUAGCGGCUCAACCGUAAAAUUGCAGUUGAAACUGGCAUUCUUGAGUACAGUAGAGGUGGGCGGAAUUCGUGGUGUAGCGGUGAAAUGCGUAGAUAUCACGAAGAACUCCGGUUGCGAAGGCAGCUCACUGGACUGCAACUGACACUGAGGCUCGAAAGUGUGGGUAUCAAACAGGAUUAGAUACCCCGGUAGUC